rnacentral:rRNA from 1 species
UACGUAGGCAGCGAGCGUUGUUCGGAAUUACUGGGCGUAAAGAGUGCGUAGGCGGUGCUCUAAGUCUGUUGUGAAAAUCUCCCGGCUCAACUGGGAGGGUGCGGCGGAAACUAGAGUGCUAGAGUAUGGGAGAGGUAAGCGGAAUUCCUGGUGUAGCGGUGAAAUGCGUAGAUAUCAGGAGGAACACCUGUGGUGUAGGCAGCUUACUGGACCAUGACUGACGCUGAGGCACGAAAGCGUGGGUAGCAAACAGG